AACCAUAGAAACCUGCGGAGUACCUGCGGAAGGAUCAUUACAGAGUUGCAAAACUCCCUAAACCAUUGUGAACGUUACCUAAACCGCUGCUUCGGCGGGCGGCCCGGGUCCUUCCCGGCGCCCAUCGGCCCUCGCGGGCGCCCGCCGGAGGUAAACCAAACUAUUGCAUUGUAUGGCCUCUCUGAGUCUUCUGUACUGAAUAAGUCAAAACUUUUAACAAUGGAUCUCAGAUCGGAAGAG
rnacentral:misc_RNA from 1 species